AAAAAAAAAAAAAAAAUAGUCAAUCUCCUAGCAACAGGCGUAGUUCCUAAAGCCCAACAAAAUAAGGUCAAAGGCCCUAUAGUAACCUUAGGAGAAGGUGACUUGACAGGAAACAAGAGGAAGACCUCUACCCCGAUGAUAGCAAUGCAUGAUCGAUAAAAGAAGAUCACUGUCGAACAGAGGCCUCAUGCACAUCUUCUCACAUGAAGAGGGCCCCAAAACUUGGGAAAAGAAACAAUGGGAAACAAAAGCUACAAAACCAAAGUAGCCCGAAGAAGACAACAACAACUUAUGGCCAGAGCUCCAUGGCAUCCCAGAGCCUUAAGGGUCGCUAUCAAUGGCAUAGCCUAGCAUGCGACCCCAAGACAUAUACCAUCUUUAAAAUAAAAACUCUCUCACAAAUCAGCUCCUUUCCAAGAAGAACACUUCUAAAACCCUUUCCAAGAAGCACAUUCUACGAGAACAAAACAAAACAUAUAUACAAAUUCAGCUCCGAGGUGGGGAGAGAGAGACUCACGUUACUGGCAAGCAGAGAAUAAUCACCCUUCCCAAAAGGAGCAAAGAAGGCCGUAGUAUCUUGCAGAAAAUAAGAACUUAGCCUGAAAAAAAAAAAACGAAAGAUGAGAGGAUUUUCUUUCUCUAAAAAGCUAGAGAGACAUCCUCCACCACCCUUCAUCAGAUCUUUGACCUAGAACUAAAAUGAUCUCAUUCCUUAUUGUAAUGUCUUCCAUACAUUUAAAAUUUACUCAAAUGGUAUGCUCUAACUUGUCAUUUAAAAUUUAUUAUUUUCAAAAUUUAAAUUCAUAUGUAAAUUUACAUUAAAAUCAAAUUCUUUUAUUUUAGCUUAGUUAUACAAUUAGAGAUAAUAACGGGUAGGACACUCAUUAAAAUUUUCCUACUCAAAUUCAAACCCAAUUAGUAUUUUUUAUCAAACUCAUUCCAAAUUCAAUUAAAAUUAUUUGAAAUUAUUUCAAACCCAAUUAUUAUUACUCAAAUAAUAUCAAAACUCAUUUAGCUUUGCAUAUUUCAAU
rnacentral:misc_RNA from 1 species